AGAGUUUGAUCCUGGCUCAGGAUGAACGCUAGCGGCAGGCCUAAUACAUGCAAGUCGAACGGUAAAUAUGCCAGCAAUGGGAUAUGAGAGUGACGCACGGGUGCGUAACACGUAUGCAACCUACCCUUUACAGGAGUAUAGCUCGGGGAAACUCGAAUUAACCCUUCAUAGUAUAAUUGAGUGGCAUCACUUGGUUAUUAAAAUCGCAAGAUGGUAAAGGAUGGGCAUGCGUCUGAUUAGCUAGUUGGUAGUGUAAUGGACUACCAAGGCGAUGAUCAGUAGGGGAACUGAGAGGUUGAUCCCCCACACUGGCACUGAGAUACGGGCCAGACUCCUACGGGAGGCAGCAGUAGGGAAUAUUGGUCAAUGGGUGAGAGCCUGAACCAGCCAUGCCGCGUGCAGGAAGACGGCCUUCUGGGUUGUAAACUGCUUUUGCCAGGGGCUAAAAAGUCCAUGCGUGGAAAAUUGAAAGUACCUGGUGAAUAAGCCACGGCUAACUACGUGCCAGCAGCCGCGGUAAUACGUAGGUGGCAAGCGUUGUCCGGAUUUAUUGGGUUUAAAGGGUGCGUAGGCGGCCUAUUAAGUCAGUGCUGAAAUAUCUCGGCUUAACCGGGAGGGUGGCAUUGAUACUGAUGGGCUAGAGUACAGAUGAGGUAGGUGGAAUUGACGGUAGCGGUGAAAUGCUUAGAUAUCGUCAAGAACACCUAUAGCGAAGGCAGCUUACUAGGCUGUAACUGACGCUGAGGCACGAAAGUGUGGGGAUCAAACAGGAUUAGAUACCCUAGUAGUCC
rnacentral:rRNA from 1 species